CUCCAUCACCAGCAGCUAGAUCAUUCGUCCACCAUAGCCGGUAACAGAGCUCGGUCGGCAGGCACAGAUUCAGCUAGGAGGAGAGCAGGAGCUAGGUAGCCAUGGCCGUCCUGCGCGCCCUCACCCGCGCCCUGGAGGACCUGGCCCACGCCCUGGUCGCCGUCGUCCGCGCCCUCGCCGACCUGGCCAGCCGCAUGACCCACGCAAGUGCCCGCGCCUUGCCCAACGCCAUAAGCCGUGCCAUCGGCGCCUGAUUUGUAUACCCUCCGGCGGUACCUCUGCACCGGAUCGUCGCUCCUCUUCGUUAGAGGUACUCCGGCGGAUUCCACGGCUGCCGCCUCCCAAGUCGCCCCGCAUCCCCCAUCCUUCCCCUGCGACGCGGAUCCACUGGAUGCCAGCUCGCCGGCUCCACGAUGUUGUCCGCACAGGCGAGGUCACGUGGCGGCGCACCGGAGAGCCGGCCAUGGGAGCCACGCGGCGGCUAGUGGCUGCUGCCUCUCUGGCCAUGGGAGCCGCAGACUCGCGGGAAUCCGAGCCCGCUGAUCUUCGGAAGCCGUGCAGCGGCGCAUCUUCCGCAAGUCUCCGGCCACGUCGACAAGCGGGUGAAAUUGGACGGGACGGACGAUGCCUCUAGCCGUGGGAUCACAUCGGUGCUCGAUUCGUAUGUAUAGCCCAGUAGCGUGUGAUUUCCAUGGUCAACGCGCGUCAAUUUGGACAGGCAACGUGAGUUCUUUGUGUGAUGAGCCGUUGUGCGAGUGCGCGCUCUAGCUUGAUGUGUGCGUGCGUGUCUGGUGUUUGUGCGCAUCCUGCUCCUCGCUGCCACACCCGCGCCAGCCUGCAGUGGCCGCGUCUCGCGCUAGCCAUGGCGGCUGGCUGGGCUGUGUGACGCGACAGCUCCCGCGGCCAGCUUGGCUGUCGACGGGACGGCUCCCGCGGCUCCGUUGGAGGCAAAGAAAUGUAUGCGCAGCUCCCAGCAUCUCCUCUUCAUAGCAGCCGUCAACCGUGAUCACCAGAGGCAGAUGCCGCAGACGUACUCCGGCGCCCAGAACCUGCUUGAUGGAAUGCCCCUUAGAAAGAGAUGUGAAGAAGAUGACAAUGUAGUCAUUGACGGGCGGGGCCCACGUCUCAUUUGCCACAUCAGUCGGUCAAAGUUUUUGGUCUUCGCCACGUCAUCCUGACAGGUGGGGCCUAUUUGUCAGUUUCCAUGUUUUCGCGACUAAAUCAGACAAUCAGUGCUCCGCGUUACGGGUUAGGCGCUAUUUCGAUGGUUUUCUGCGCCCUAGCGCAAACGUGGUACUAAGUUGUUACCCUAGCCCCAAGUAUGGUGGUUUUGCAUAAAUAACUCCCAGAUGAUCAAGAGCUACAACUCCUAAAGAAGAUCUUCUCUCACUUACAUCCAUCCGUGUUUAUUUUGAUAGUCCCUGCUGCCGGUGAAUGCCACUUUGCCUUACCGAGAGUAACACCCGAGCUUGGCAUGCCCGGCACAUGCAGUGCUUGAAUCAGUUCCUGAAUGAGAUCCAUAGACCGUGAAGGCCGGAACUUUAUUUCCUCAUGUGUGUAUUUAUUCCUGCUGCUCCAAAUGGCCCACAUAACUGAGAUUGCAAUCGCUGCUUUGUCUUUGCUCAUGAAGUUUCCAUCCAGAAGAUCUCCCGACCACAUCAAUGGGUGCAGCUGUGGUAGUUUGAGAUCAAAAAAUCCAUCUGCUUCCCUCCAGAACAACAGAGCAUGCUCACAUCCUAUAUACCUAAGAGAUUGAUCCCCACUACUUUGAUUUAUCUUAACAUGCAGCCCCUCCACAUCACCAAUCCAGCCAAAUCAGCAACUCUCCGCAUGCAUGCUGCCACGUCAUGCUGCAUUUAGUUUCCAGCCGUGAACAUUGAUCAACCCCUCUCGAACAUGCAGCAUUCCACGUUAGCAAAUUAACAUGUUCAAUUUUUCAGGCGUUAUCUCUCUUCUGUCCUUUCCUCUUCUCGCCUCAACGUACGAUGGUUCACUUCAUCUUCCAUCAAUAAAUCUUCACUGGAGCGUUCCUGAUUCUUCUACUGCCCUAUUUAUCUGUAUAGAGAGGAAGGAGAGACCUGCAAGCUAAAGCUGGCUGGAGCCACAUGAUGGCCGCUAGAUGCCUAGCAGGGGCUUUGCCGGCCGAAGCCCACACGCCUUGGCAUCGACCCGAACUUUUGACGAACGAUGCAUGCCACCGUCGACGUCUUCCAUCAACAACACUCGCACCAAAGGUGGGGCUCUCCUUCCUCUCUAGCUGACUUAGAUCUGAAUGGUUUUGUAGUUAGCUUGGUUGGAAGCUCAGGUUCCAAGUCAGAGAUAGGCCCCAAGGUGUAGUUUGGCAGCGCCCACCAUGCCGAUGCCAAGUAUGUAAGUGUGCCACGUCCCAAUUAAAGUUGCGUCUUUGUCGCCGAGGUAGGAGCAGAAAGAUGAGGACAUGAGGUCACUCCUAUCGUUUAUUUGCCAGAUUUUCAUGUCAGCGUUGUUACCCCUGAAGGCAUGUACAAAGCUUUAUGUGACGGAGAACUAGAUGCAUCUGUGCUUUUUCUAUGGAAGACAUGCUUAUGUACUACUGUCCGUGCUUGAUGUGUUUUUUUUUCUGUGAUGUGGCUGGUGGCCAUGUACAAAUUAUAAGAUUUAUGGAUGCAUCGCUACUAGAUUUGUGCUUU